rnacentral:rRNA from 1 species
AUUGAACGCUGGCGGCGUGCUUAACACAUGCAAGUCGAUCGGUAACGCGGAGGCAACCCUGGCGACGAGAGGCGGACGGGUGAGGAACGCUUGGGAAUCUGCCUAUCAGCGGGGGACAACACGGGGAAACUCGUGCUAAUACCGCAUACGCUCUACGGAGGAAAGCCGGGGACCGCAAGGCCUGGCACUGAUAGAUGAGCCCAAGUCGGAUUAGCUAGUUGGCGGGGUAACGGCCCACCAAGGCGACGAUCCGUAGCUGGUCUGAGAGGACGAUCAGCCACACUGGGACUGAGACACGGCCCAGACUCCUACGGGAGGCAGCAGUGGGGAAUAUUGGACAAUGGGGGAAACCCUGAUCCAGCGACGCCGCGUGGGUGAAGAAGGCCUGCGGGUUGUAAAGCCCUUUCGGUAGGGACGAAAGCUCUCGACCUAACACGUCGGGAGGUUGACUUAACCUACAAAAGAAGCACCGGCUAACUCUGUGCCAGCAGCCGCAGUAAAAC